rnacentral:rRNA from 1 species
AGAGUUUGAUCCUGGCUCAGGACGAACGCUGGCGGCGCGCCUAACACAUGCAAGUCGAACGAGCGAGAGAGAGCUUGCUUUCUCAAGCGAGUGGCGAACGGGUGAGUAACGCGUGAGGAACCUGCCUCAAAGAGGGGGACAACAGUUGGAAACGACUGCUAAUACCGCAUAAGCCCACAGCUCGGCAUCGAGCAGAGGGAGAAGGAGUGAUCCGCUUUGAGAUGGCCUCGCGUCCGAUUAGCUAGUUGGUGAGGUAACGGCCCACCAAGGCGACGAUCGGUAGCCGGACUGAGAGGUUGAACGGCCACAUUGGGACUGAGACACGGCCCAGACUCCUACGGGAGGCAGCAGUGGGGAAUAUUGCACAAUGGGGGAAACCCUGAUGCAGCGACGCCGCGUGGAGGAAGAAGGUCUUCGGAUUGUAAACUCCUGUUGUUGAGGAAGAUAAUGACGGUACUCAACAAGGAAGUGACGGCUAACUACGUGCCAGCAGCCGCGGUAAAACGUAGGUCACAAGCGUUGUCCGGAAUUACUGGGUGUAAAGGGAGCGCAGGCGGGAAAGCAAGUUGGAAGUGAAAUCCAUGGGCUCAACCCAUGAACUGCUUUCAAAACUGUUUUUCUUGAGUAGUGCAGAGGUAGGCGGAAUUCCCGGUGUAGCGGUGGAAUGCGUAGAUAUCGGGAGGAACACCAGUGGCGAAGGCGGCCUACUGGGCACCAACUGACGCUGAGGCUCGAAAGUGUGGGUAGCAACAGGAUUAGAUACCCUGGUAGUCCACACUGUAAACGAUGAUUACUAGGUGUUGGAGGAUUGACCCCUUCAGUGCCGCAGUUAACACAAUAAGUAAUCCACCUGGGGAGUACGACCGCAAGGUUGAAACUCAAAGGAAUUGACGGGGGCCCGCACAAGCAGUGGAGUAUGUGGUUUAAUUCGACGCAACGCGAAGAACCUUACCAAGUCUUGACAUCCUGCGACGGUGCUGGAAACAGUACUUUCCUUCGGGACGCAGAGACAGGUGGUGCAUGGUUGUCGUCAGCUCGUGUCGUGAGAUGUUGGGUUAAGUCCCGCAACGAGCGCAACCCUUAUGGUCAGUUACUACGCAAGAGGACUCUGGCCAGACUGCCGUUGACAAAACGGAGGAAGGUGGGGAUGACGUCAAAUCAUCAUGCCCUUUGUGACUUGGGCUACACACGUACUACAAUGGCGUUAAACAAAGAGAAGCGAGACCGCGAGGUGGAGCAAAACUCAGAAACAACGUCCCAGUUCGGACUGCAGGCUGCAACUCGCCUGCACGAAGUCGGAAUUGCUAGUAAUCGCAGAUCAGCAUGCUGCGGUGAAUACGUUCC